rnacentral:rRNA from 1 species
ACCUCAGAAUUUAAGCUGUCCUAACCAGUGCUGUCUGAGCUUUGAAAGGAAGCAGUGUCAGGCCUGGUUAGUUCUUUGAUAGGAGACCACCUGGGAAUAUCAGUUUCUGUAGGCU